rnacentral:rRNA from 1 species
AACGAACGCUGGCGGCAGGCCUAACACAUGCAAGUCGAACGCGGUAGCAAUACAGAGUGGCAGACGGGUGAGUAACGCGUGGGAACCUUCCCAAUGGUACGGAAUAGCUCAGGGAAACUUGAGGUAAUACCGUAUAAGCCCCUAGGGGGAAAGAUUUACCGCCAUUGGAUGGGCCCGCGUCGGAUUAGCUAGUUGGUGAGGUAAUGGCUCACCAAGGCGACGAUCCGUAGCUGGUUUGAGUGAAUGACCAGCCACACUGGGACUGAAACACGGCCCAGACUCCUACGGGAGGCAGCAGUGGGGAAUAUUGGACAAUGGGCGCAAGCCUGAUCCAGCCAUGCCGCGUGAGUGAUGAAGGCCUUAGGGUUGUAAAGCUCUUUCAGUGGGGACGAUAAUGACGGUACCCACAGAAGAAGCCCCGGCUAACUUCGUGCCAGCCGCCGCGGUAA